CUGUUUUAGAGUUAUGCCCCUUUAAAAGGGUAAAAUUCUGAAUUAUACGACCUUCAACAGUGAAGGAAAUCAAUAACUCAAAGUCUGCUUUAAGAAGCCAAAAUGUCAAAUGUUAAUGAUUCAAAUGAUAAAUGUACAGAAAAAUUAACUAAAAACAAUAAUGAAACUCAGCAACAAAUGAUAACCACUUAAUUACAGGCUCCUGACUUUGGGACAGGCUAAUACAUACAGAAUAUGGUGGGGUUAAACGUGUUUGUGGGAUUCCAAUCCUCACCCUAACCUUGGUCUGAUGUAACAGUAUAAGAUGGGUACUUGUACAUUCCAACAACAUAAAGACACUAAUCUGAGAGUACUCGCUGUUACUGACAGCAUGUUUAAAGCCAAUAACAUCUUAUAAUAAAAAUCCUGCAUCGAACAGCAAGCUAUAUAAAAGAGCCCAAAAAAAGAAAAAUGUAAAACCAUUCAUACAAGAAAAUUAACAGUCUAAUCUAUAUAAAAAAACAAGAUCCUAGAAACAUUUAUGAAACACAUCAACAAACAACAACC
rnacentral:lncRNA from 1 species